rnacentral:rRNA from 1 species
CCUACGGGAGGCAGCAGUGAGGAAUAUUGCGCAAUGGGCGAAAGCCUGACGCAGCGACGCCGCGUGAGGGAUGACGGCCUUCGGGUUGUAAACCUCUGUCAGUGGGGAAGAGAACGGACGGUACCCGCUGAGGAAGCAUCGGCUUACUACGUGCCAGCAGCCGCGGUAAU